UGAGGAAUAUUGGACAAUGGGCGCAAGCCUGAUCCAGCCAUGCCGCGUGCAGGAAGAAGCAUCUAUGGUGUGUAAACUGCUUUUGUACGGGAAGAAACACUCCUUCGUGAAGGAGCUUGACGGUACCGUAAGAAUAAGGAUCGGCUAACUCCGUGCCAGCAGCCGCGGUAAUACGGAGGAUCCAAGCGUUAUCCGGAGUCAUUGGGUUUAAAGGGUCCGUAGACGGUUUAGUAAGUCAGUGGUGAAAGCCCAUCGCUCAACGAUGGAACGGCCAUUGAUACUGCUAGACUUGAAUUAUUAGGAAGUAACUAGAAUAUGUAGUGUAGCUGUGAAAUGCUUAGAUAUUACAUGGAAUACCAGUUGCGAAGGCAGGUUACUACUUGUGGAUUGACGCUGAUGGACGAAAGCGUGGGGAGCGAACA
rnacentral:rRNA from 1 species